rnacentral:rRNA from 1 species
GAAAGUCCAUCGCUUAACGGUGGAUCUGCGCCGGGUACGGGCGGGCUGGAGUGCGGUAGGGGAGACUGGAAUUCCCGGUGUAACGGUGGAAUGUGUAGAUAUCGGGAAGAACACCAAUGGCGAAGGCAGGUCUCUGGGCCGUUACUGACGCUGAGGAGCGAAAGCGUGGGGAGCGAACAGGAUUAGAUACCCUGGUAGUCCACGCCGUAAACGGUGGAUGCUGGAUGUGGGGCCCGUUCCACGGGUUCCGUGUCGGAGCUAACGCGUUAAGCAUCCCGCCUGGGGAGUACGGCCGCAAGGCUAAAACUCAAAGAAAUUGACGGGGGCCCGCACAAGCGGCGGAGCAUGCGGAUUAAUUCGAUGCAACGCGAAGAACCUUACCUGGGCUUGACAUGUUCCCGACAGCCGUAGAGAUAUGGCCUCCCUUCGGGGCGGGUUCACAGGUGGUGCAUGGUCGUCGUCAGCUCGUGUCGUGAGAUGUUGGGUUAAGUCCCGCAACGAGCGCAACCCUCGCCCUGUGUUGCCAGCACGUCAUGGUGGGAACUCACGGGGGACCGCCGGGGUCAACUCGGAGGAAGGUGGGGAUGACGUCAGAUCAUCAUGCCCCUUACGUCCAGGGCUUCACGCAUGCUACAAUGGCCGGUACAACGGGAUGCGACACGGCGACGUGGAGCGGAUCCCUGAAAACCGGUCUCAGUUCGGAUUGGAGUCUGCAACCCGACUCCAUGAAGGCGGAGUCGCUAGUAAUCGCGGAUCAGCAACGCCGCGGUGAAUGCGUUCCCGGGCCUUGUACACACCGCCCGUCAAGUCAUGAAAGUGGGUAGCACCCGAAGCCGGUGGCCUAACCCUUUGUGGAUGGAGCCGUCUAAGGUGAGACUCGUGAUUGGGACUAAGUCGUAACAAGGUAGCCGUACCGGAAGGUGCGGCUG